GCCUACCCCUGGUGUAGUGGUUCAAGUGUUGGACUAGAGCUCUAGAGAUCAGGGUUCAAUUCCCUGUUCGGCC